rnacentral:rRNA from 1 species
CUACGGGGGGCUCCAGUGAGGAAUAUUGCACAAUGGAGGAAACUCUGAUGCAGCAACGCCGCGUGGAGGAUGACGCAUUUCGGUGUGUAAACUCCUUUUAUAUGUCAAGAAAAUGACGGUAGCAUAUGAAUAAGCACCGACUAACUCCGUGCCAGCAGCCGCGGUAAUACGGAGGGUGCAAGCGUUACUCGGAAUCACUGGGCGUAAAGGACGCGUAGGCGGGAUAUCAAGUCAGGUGUGAAAUCCUACAGCUUAACUGUAGAACUGCACUUGAAACUGGUAACCUAGAGUAUGGGAGGGGGAGAUGGAAUUAGUGGUGUAGGGGUAAAAUCCGUAGAUAUCACUAGGAAUACCUAAAGCGAAGGCGAUCUCCUGGAACAUAACUGACGCUAAGGCGUGAAAGCGUGGGGAGCAAACAGGAUUAGAUACCCCAGUAGUC